GUUUUUUUUGAUUACAAGGUAUUGAAUAAGGUUUUAAUUGAAUGCUAAAAGAAUGGAAUAUCAAAGAAUAACUUUCUUAAAAUUAAAAAUUGAAAUUUUUUUAAUUUGUGUAAAAACAAUUAUAUAAAUUAAAGACAAGAAGACCCUAAGAAUUUUUAAAAUUUAAAUUAACACAUUUUUGUUUUAAUUAAAUUUUAACUGGGGCGGUUAAAAAAUAUUAAAAACUUUUUAAUUUUGAAAAUGACCCAUUAUUAAUGAAAAUAUGAUAAAAUACUCUAGGGAUAACAGCGUUAUAUUUUUUGAUAGAUCAUAUUGACAAAAAAGUUUGCGACCUCGAUGUUGGAUUAGGAUACUUUUUUAAUGAAGAUAUUAAAAUAAGAAGUUUGUUCAACUUUUAAAUUCCUACAUGAUCUGAGUUUAGACCGAA
rnacentral:rRNA from 1 species